CAGGAGAGAACCGUGCGGCUUCUCCCUGCACAGCCCAGUGCGGAGCUGUGUGCGGCGCCGUGGCCGGCCGAGCUCCCGGCGGAGAAGAAAGGCCUCUUAGAGACUUGAUUGUCUACCCUGGAGGGAGACACCCCUGAAAUGAGGCACAGCUUUCCAGGGGACUAACUUAUCCCCAGCAACAGGAAGCCAACCUGAUGAUCUACUUGGCCACUUGGUCCCCACGUGCACUCUGCCUCCCACACACACUGUUGAAAGAUUUGAUUAUAGGAACCUGUUUCAGUACUGGAUUUGCCCAGAGUUUGGAAACAAGGUCAUGACUCCUCCAGAAGCAGGACUGCUGUUUCAUUGUCCCCACCUCGAGAUGGAAAUGGGAGUCUGGACAACAGUAUGACAAAAGCUCGCUGAUAAAGUGCCUGGGAAAACAGUAGAAGAUGGCGCAAGUGCUUGGACCCCUGCACCCACGUGGGAGGCCCAGAAGAAGCUCCUGGCUUCGGCCUGACCAAGCCCUGGCUGUAGCCAUUUGGGGAGUGAACCAGCAGAUCGAAGGUGCCUCUCUCUCUCCCUUUCUCUCUCUCUCUCUCUCUCUCUGCCUUUCUAGUAAAUCAAUAGAGGAUAACGUUAGACACAUUAACAUAUUGCAGCGGAACAAGCGCUGGGGUGCAGUGGGUUAAGUUACCCCUCAGGACGCCUGCAUCCCCUAUCAGUGCCUGAGAGCGAGUCCCAGCUUCGCUUCCAAUCCAGCUUCCUGCUGAUGCAGGAGGUGUUUACCAAGUAAUUGGGUCCCUGCCACCCAUGUGGAAGACCUGGCUGGAAUUCUAGUCUCCUGAAGUUGGCCUGACCCAACCCCAGCUGUUGCGGACAUUUGGAGAGUGAACCACAAAUGGAAGAGCUCUGUGUCUCUCCCUCUUUCUCUCUCUCUCUCACUCUGCUUUUCCAGUAAAUAAAAGUUGAAAAGAAAACUUCUGAGCAGCUUGAGCAUUCCAUAAUUGGGCAGCUUUAUUGAAACAGCACCAGCACGGGCUCGCUCAAAAGUGUUUUAAUGCUUCUGUGAUAAAUACCAUCUAGUAGUGAAAAGGAGCUAAGGCUGCGUGUACCAGCAAGCAAAUCUGGAGCAGGAGACGCGUUUCAGAACGAUACAUGCACAGUAACUCCCGCAUGUGUGGUUCUGAGAACAUGCAAGCACCACACCACAGUGUUGGGGCUGCAGGCACGCGUGUGUGCGUGUGGCUGAGGUUCGAGUGUUUGGGGUGAGUGAAGACUGCCAGGGUUAGGCCCAGGGACUGCUUCUGGGGCUCAGAGGGAGACGUGACCAUGAAGGAUGUCUUCCUAAGGGGACUGGUGAAGGAGUAAAUUACCUCUACCAGAGCUUCUCAGAGAAUCUGAGGGGCAUAUUAAAAACAGGUGUUGGAGUCCCGCCGCUGGGGACCAGAUGCAGGGCCCGGGAGGCAGUAGGCUAAUCGCGGAGGACAGGUGGAGUGGAGAACGCCUGGGCUUCUCAACAUCUCACACGUGCACGAAUGACUCAACCAGGCCUUUACUGCUGAUCUGUUGCUUUAGCAGUUAAAAAACAAGAUUUAUAAAAUGCUUAUCUUAGAGUGUCUACUUAUAAAAUGACAGAACCUUCCAGCUCUCCAAGGCUGGGUGUCACGGGCUCUCUGCCAUCCACGGCGCAUGGAGCCUGGCGAGAGUGGGCAGCAGGGCCGUUCAGUGGGUGCACACCCACCUGAGAGUUGCAAAGGUGCUCCCUUGUGGAAGGAGCCAUGUGCACCUGCAGCUUUCUCAGUCUCUGGCCUCACACUGAGUGUGCUAGAGGGAAGAGGAGAAGCCAACCUGUUCCAUCUCCACCAGGCAAAGUGCUCAGACGUGCAGGGUGCCCAGCCAGAAACCACCCAGGCAGACCCACACUGGCCUCCCACGGCCUUCUGAGUCCUGCCUUGGCCAAGCCCUGGCCUGGGGCUGGCUAAGGGAGGAAGAGGAGCUCAGGAGGGCUGAGGGCAGCCCCCCCACCCUGUGCCACCCACCAGCAACCUGCUCAGCCUCUCUCUCCUCUGUCCCCUCCCUCAGAGCCCUGACUGGGGUUUUUGUCUUGCUUACUGAAUCUCCGAGUUUUCUUUUUCUUUUUUUCUAAUUUUUUAAAAAUAUUUCUUUUAUUCAUGUGAAAUACUGAGUUACAGAGAGAGAGAGAUCUUCCAUCUGCUGAUUCCUUCCCCAAAUGGCUGUAACAGCCAGGGCUGGCCUGUCGGAAGCCAGGAGCUUCUUCCAAGUCUCCCACGUGGGGUGCGGGGGACCGAGCACUUGGGCCCUCCUCCGCUGCUUCCCCAGGUACAUCAGCAGGAAGCUGGAUGGGAAGUGGGGCAGUGGGGUCCAUAUGGGGUGCCGGUGUUGCAGGCGGUGGCUUUACCCACUACGCCACAGCGCCAGCCUCCGGGGUUCUCUUUAGAAGCCAGAGUGCGGCUGGUGGAGCAGAGCAUCCUAGCAAAGACAAGGAAGCCAGUGUGGUGGGGACGGGAACAAGGACUAAGUGGAGGGUGGCAGGAUGGGGCCGGAGCGGAAGUAACCGAGGAGCCUUUGUGAGCGAUUGGUGCUUCUCCGGCAGCGCGGGCCGGCUUCUGGCCAAGACCGCCGCCCCCAGCCCCACGCUGUCCUUCCACCGCGUGUCAUCAGCAGGUCCUGGAGGUCAGCCAGGACCCCAGCACGAGAGACCACUGGGGACUGGGAAAUCCCACUGGGUCAGAAGGGGUUAAGCGUGGGAUUACAAAGAAAGGGGAAGAGACUGGGAAAAAACAUACAGCAUCGCUGACAUUUUUAUUAAGAACCCGAGGCUUUUCAGUGGGGGUUGGUCAGUAAAAUACUAAGCGUGGGUGAAGGGACUUCGUGUUCUUGGCCAAGGGGGUUUAUGUCAGCGCGUGGUACCUCGGGUGCGUGUGUCAGUCGCGGUUCUUUGAAAAGGCUCAGGGAGGAGACGGCGCAAUUGUCUCCAGACAAUCACAAGCCGUGAUUAAUCCUGAGCCAUCGCAGGCGGAUGUGCUUGUAAACAGACGUGGGCAGGAACGCAGGGCGCUGGCUCAGAGCGAGCGCUCUCUGCCUGCUCCACAGCCCCCGUGCCAGAAGCCAGCGCUGAGGCCCAGGAACAGUUUGGAUAACACGGACUGUGUUGGUCAAACAGACUUGGAAACAACAAACAGAAAUACAUCAGGCCGCGCUUCGGCUCCAGGAGCGACCUCCGUGUCAGGGGAAGGUUAUUUCAGGCUUGUAAAGGAAGUCCAGCCGCCGAGAGCCAAGAAGGCAAGCCAGGACCCUGGCAAGGAAGGACAGAGUCGCCUUCCGUUUUCCUAACUGUGAAGGGCUUUUGAACAGCAAAGUCCACACUAACGACCCGUGCGUACUGCUGUGUCUCCGGAACUGUGUGCCAGGAAUUUGCCGCAGACUUGGUUGUCAUUCUGCAGUCAUCAGGCAAGAACCAAAGACCAGUCAGACAAGUCUCCAGGGGGACAUAAAGAGAAAAAAGUAGAGAUAGGUGACGAGACGUGGAGAAGGCAGAGCCUGACCAGAAACGGAAGGCGGCGCCUGUGGAGUGAAAAGCUCAAGGUCCAGUUAGAGACUCAGCGGAUCCAUGGACGUCUUGAGAAGCUGCACGGACUCUCCAUUCUUACUUGGGUACCUACGUGAACGCCUGCCUCAGAUCAUUCGAGAUUAGCAGCACAACAACGGUAACUCACACAUGAGAGCUUCCGUAUCAGGAUGUAGAAUGAUUCAGAGACAUUAUCUCAUUAAUCUGUGCCACUCUGAAGAACAGGUGGCAAAACAAGACCUUAACACCAGCACUCCCAAGUCCAGGACUGCUGAGCUAACCACCACACUGAGUUAGACUUGAUCUUAGCCAAAAGGCCGAGCAGCGAUCCCACCACGUUGAAUGGAGGCUGAGGCUCCGUCUGGGCGGAUUGUGAUUGAGUGAUGAAAGCUUCCUCAGGAGUGUCCAUGCUCUAGAGCGUUGCUUUGUUGUUUUUGUGUUGUUUUUAUUUGUUUGAAAGGCAGAGUUAGGGAGAGACGGGGGGAGAGCUUCUAUCUGCUGGUUCAUUCCCUUAAAUGGCCAAAAGGGCCAGAACGGGGCAGAUCUCAAGUCAGGAGCCAGGAGCUUCCUCCAGGUCUCCCACGUGGGUGCAGAGGCCCAAGCACUUGGGCCAUCGUCUGCUGCUUUCCGUCAGGUUAGCACAGUGCUGGAUCAGAAGUGUAGCAGCCAGCGCAUGAACCAGCGACCAUCUGGGAUGCUGGCACCAUGGGCGGAGGCCUAACCUGGUACGCCACAGUGCCAGCCCCUAGAGCACUGCUUUCUAAGCUGGGCUGUAGGUCAAAGGUCAAGUUCAGGGUGUCUGCCUUCAAGAGCUCUGAAGUCAUCUCUUGUGUAAUCAUUACAGUGCAGACGGCUCCAGCCCAGGGUGUCUCAAGUAAAAAUGACACAGUCACACUCGUGUACACGGGACUAAGCCCAUUGAAAGAGAGCUCCCAAAUGCCUGCAGCAGGCAGGGCUGGGCCAGGCCGGAGCCAGGAUCCAGGAACUCCAUCCAGAUCUCCCUCCUGGGUGGCAGGGACCAAGAUGGUUGCUGCUUCCCCCGGUCUGCGUUAGCAGGAAGCUGGAGUCAGGAGCCAGAAGGAGGUGUGAAACCCAGGUACUCUGAUGUGAGAUGCAGGGUGCGUAAGCAGUGUCUUAGCCAUUAGGCCGAACGCCCACCCGAGUUCCAUGCUGAGCAUGGACGCCACCCUCCCCCAGCUGCUAAGACUGGAUUCCAGUGGUGGUGCCCACUGGGUCAGACCCCUGGCUCUGCCACCCCACUCAUUUGCCAUGUCAUUCAUGGUGAUGUCAGAGGCUGGCUUGGGGGGACAUUAACACACCCCUUUAUCACCGUCAUUUCACAGCAAAUGCGGUCACAACUGGAUGAAGCCUUUAAGCCACUUCUGUAUAUCAAAAUUGUAGAGAUGCGGCUGCAUUCGUCUUUCACAAGCAUUCCGAACACUGAGGUUGCCGAGAACCAGCUCUGCCCAGGUCCCUACCCGUGCCCAGAGCUGCAGAGUGGGGUCGUGCCAGCUUGGGCUCAGGUGCAGGCAGGAUAGAGUUAGGAAGAGGGCCGGUGCCGUGGCUCACUAGGCUAAUCCUCCGCCUAGCGGCACCAGCACACCGGGUUCUAGUCCCGGUCGGGGCGCCAGAUUCUGUCCCAGUUGCCCCUCUUCCAGGCCAGCUCUCUGCUGUGGCCCGGGAGUGCAGUGGAGGAUGGCCCAAGUGCUUGGGCCCUGCACCCCAUGGGAGACCAGGAGAAGUACCUGGCUCCUGCCUUCGGAUCAGCGCAGUGCGCCGGCUACAGCGCGCCAGCCGCGGCGGCCAUUGGAGGUUGAACCAACGGCAAAGGAAGACCUUUCUCUCUGUCUCUCUCUCUCACUGUCCACUCUGCCUGUCAAAAAAAAAAAAAAAAAAGUUAGGAAGAGAAUUCUGGUUUCUCUGCUCCAAGGCUGGGAAAGACCUUAGCAAAGGACCCAGCAUGUAGCUGUCCCUAGACAUUCUCAACUCAGCAAAGCUGGAAGUGGGAACUCCAGUAGAUGCCUGUGGCACCUUUCAGAAGAAACAGCUAACUCUUAGUGAGCCUCCAACUCCAUAGAUGCCUUUUGUGACCCACGCCUCCAUCAGGGAUGCUGUCCCCAGCACAGAGCAGAAUGCUCUGCGGACUCACUGCAACACUGGCCAUUGAGUCCAGUGUGACCUCACAGACAGGGUAGCUUACCCAAGCUCAUGGGCUCCUCUGUGGGGAGGACAGGAUUCCAACCCUGCAGGUCUGUGCCUCAGCUGCCGUCUGCGUGGGACGCCACUGUUCUUCUUGCCGCCAUGCUCUGGAACCCUGUGCAAUAGAAUGGCAGCGAUGACUCUGGGGGAGGCCCCUCCGCAGCGUCGUGACAAUAUCUCAGGGCAGUCAGCGUUGGUCGUGGCCCAGCUCCACCACUCAGCCCCGGGGACAGGACAGACCUCCCUCUGCUGACCACCACUCAGCCUCCUCAUCCCAGAAAUGCUACCGUGGCCUCAGAGCGCCCUCUCGGUCCUAAAACUCAAGGUUCUAAGAAGUGCAUGUUCUAAACUAAGGACCCUAGCUUAAAUAAGUAGUCUGUAACCAUGGAGUUGAACUUGACUGUGCCUUAAAGGAAAACCCGAGUUUGUGUUGUUUUGUAAGGAGCUUUAAAGCGUGAGUUGUUGAUAGAAUGCAACUUAGACAUUACUUCAUUUACAGAAGGGAGGCAGAGUUAAGCUCUGGCAGUUGAGUCUGAGCAGGGGUGGGUGUGGUGUGCGGUGCUGGCAGGACACCUGCGUGGACACCAGGGAGUUGGGGAGUGGUGGGAAGCCAGAAGGUAGGAGUGAGACAGGUGGAAGCUGAGGGAAGGGCGGGACCUGCCUGACAGUGACGCCACCAGCGGUCCAAUCAGUGUUGUUGCUCAGGGAAGCAAGCUCAUGCAUCAGUGUGAGUGAUUCCAGGCCUGCCCGGCUGGCACCAACCACUCAGCCCUGCUCCGGGCCGGCUGUCCCUCUUCCUCCUCCUCUUCCUCACACUCUUCUGCUUGUGUCCCUGCCUACACGACAUCUUAGAGGCAGGGGUCUUGUUUGGGCAGAAAUGGGGACAGAAAGGAGUUACAAUGAGAAUUCUGAUGCCUGAAGGCUCUUAAACUUGAGAAACAUCAAGAAAAAGGAUGCAAGUUGUUGAUCAUUUCUAAAUAUCCAGUGGCGUAGCGUCGGACCCUGAAACUGUGGCAGAUACUCACAAGCACUUCCUGAGUGUUGCACACUGCUCUAAAGAGACUGUAUGUAGCUUGUUUCCCUAACAACCGCGUGAGACAGGAGCUAUUCUCUUUCCCGUACAGACGAAGAAUCUGGGCACCGAGAAGCUAAAUCAUUUUACUGCAGUUGGAAGACGCCUGGGGUACAAUCUCAGGCUGACAGGUUCCACAGUCACACCGGCUCCCGGCUGCUCCCCUGUGCUGCCGUGACAUGGACAUGGCUUCCUCUCAUAGCAACGAGGAUUCCAAGAGCCAGCUUGCAUUCACACAGCUGAAGGCAUAGACAAUAAGAGGCAAGGUCUGCCAGUUUCUAGAACAGUAAUUCUUCUGUCUUUUGCUGAUCUGAUGGGGUUGGGACUUGGUGACAUGAGGGGACGUUUGUCUCAAGUUUCUCCUUCUUGCUUUGCAUAGGAGCAUGGUGGUGUUCCCCGAGCAGCUCUGGGUCUCUCACGGCACACCCUGGGUGGAGCUCACCGCCAGCAGGGAGCUGACACAGCCCGCUGGCCGUGCUCUGAGAGAGGCACCCAGCUGUUCAUCCUCAAGGACGAGACCAGCUGCCUCCCCAAGCAGAGCUCUUUGCCUUUCUCCAGUUAUUUCACACACGCACACAGACACACACACGCACGGACAGGUACACACACAUGUGCAUGCACAGGAUACUGUCUAAGGACCAGCAGUAAUGUCCACUGGUAGCAUCCUUCCGGGAGAGUGUGUCCACAGAAUGAAACCGCCCACCAGGUAUCAGCUGCCCAGCAUGCAGCCUCAGGUGCACCGUGGAGAGCCUCGUCACGGCUUGGUCACGCUGGCGUCUGUCUGUUGAGCCAGGCCCAAGUUCUGAACUCUCCCAGCAUGUUAGCCUGCACCCACACCCGGCCGACUCUGAAACUGCAGGCAUUUUUCUGUUCAUCAAGAUUAGAUUCUGCAACAACACGUCUUUUGUCCCUCAUGAUGAUUUCUGCAAGGGAAUGACUGCAAACUGGAGGGCUUUUUUUUAAUAUUUAUUUUUAUUUACUUUCAUGUACUCGAAGGCAAAGCCUCCGAGAGAGGAAGAGAGACAGAAAGAGAAAAAGAAAGAUCUUCCAUCUGCUCGUUCAUUCUUUAGAAGCCUGCAGCAGUAGGGGCUGGGCCAGGCUGAAGAACUCCACCUGGGCCUCCUGGUUGGGUGCAGGGGCCCAGUGCUUGAGCCAUCAGUGCCUCCCAGGUUGCAUUAGCAGGAUGCUAGAAGUAGAAGCAGAGUAGCGGGGCUCGAACUGCUCACCACAGCACCUUCCCCAGUGUGAGGACUGACUGACUUUCUGUGCUGUCUGUGGAAGCCAAGAAGUCAGGGAGUCGAGGUGAAAGGUUUAUUCUCCAUCAUGUGAGAGACCUGGAUGAGGUUCUUGGCUCCUGCUUCCCUUGCCCAGCCAUGGCCGUUGCAGCUAUCUGGGGAGGAAACUAGCAGGUGGAAGAACUCUCUGUCUCUUACUCUGCCUUUUGGAUGAAGAAAUAAAUAAAUUUUGUAAAAAAGAUUUACUCUCUGAUGUUUACUAAUGUCACUAUUUUUAUGUGUCUUGAAAACUUUCAGCAUGUUUUGUUUUAAUCCAAUAAAUCGUCCACGUGCACAUUG